rnacentral:rRNA from 1 species
AUUUGACGUUACCUACAGAAGAAGCACCGGCUAACUCCGUGCCAGCAGCCGCGGUAAUACGGAGGGUGCGAGCGUUAAUCGGAAUUACUGGGCGUAAAGCGCAUGCAGGCGGCCUGUUAAGUCAGAUGUGAAAGACCCGGGGCGUUAACCUCGGAAUUGCAUUUGAAACUAGGCAGGCUAGAGUCUUGUAGAGGGGGGUAGGAAUUUCUAGGUGUAGCGGUGAAAUAGCGUAGAGAUCUGAAGGAAUACCAGUGGCGAAGGCGGCCCCCUCGGACAAAGACUGACGCUCAGAUGCGAAAGCGUGGGGAGCAAACAGGAUUAGAUACCCUGGUAG